rnacentral:rRNA from 1 species
ACCGACUAAUGUUGAAAAAUUAGCGGAUGACUUGUGGCUGGGGGUGAAAGGCCAAUCAAACCGGGAGAUAGCUGGUUCUCCCCGAAAGCUAUUUAGGUAGCGCCUCGUGAACUCAUCUUCGGGGGUAGAGCACUGUUUCGGCUAGGGGGUCAUCCCGACUUACCAACCCGAUGCAAACUACGAAUACCGAAGAAUGUUAUCACGGGAGACACACGGCGGGUGCUAACGUCCGUCGUGAAGAGGGAAACAACCCAGACCGCCAGCUAAGGUCCCAAAGUCAUGGUUAAGUGGGAAACGAUGUGGGAAGGCACAGACAGCCAGGAUGUUGGCUUAGAAGCA